GGUUGAAAGGUGAUCACGUGGACCGGAGCACAGCUCCGGGACCGUGUCUCUAGGGCCUGGCGGGUAAGGCCAGCGAGGUAGCGGGCCAAUCUCCGCACCUCAUCGGAGCCGUGACGCCCCAGCCCCGGCUCCUUCGCCGUGACACUGUGUCUCCGUCUAUGGGACAGGAGACUUCGCGCCUCGCGUUUGCCAGUCUCCGUCGAGACUGCACGUUUCUGCAGGCCUCCACCCGCGCUCCGUCGCCAAGGGCCCCGGGGACGGCGGCCUGGGCCUUUCGGGCAUUUGACGUCAUUUUGUUGUUGUUGUUUGACAUCAUUUUAUAGCGAGGUUCGGAGUUUGAGGCGCAGCCCGAGGGGACCCUGCCCUGGUCUCCCGCCUCACGGGGCCCCAUCCCUCCCACUGUGUCCAGUGGCAGUGGCGGGGGCGGCAGCACUGAUGAACCCAGCGCAGGGCGGUGUGACCUUCGAGGAUGUGUUCGUGUACUUCUCCCGGGAGGAGUGGGAGCUGCUAGAGGAAGCUCAGAGACUCCUGUACCGUGAUGUGAUGCUGGAGAACUUUGCACUUGUGUCAUCGCUGGGACUUGCAGUUUCCAGGUCUCAUGGGGCUACCGAGCUGCAGCCGGAGGGGAGCCUGGGGUGCCUGAGGAGGUAGACGCUCCUCCGGUCAGAGCAGAGAAGACCUGGAGGAGGCCCAGGCCUGGUCGUUGGCCCGGAGUGGCGGGUGUGGCCGCACCUUCUGAGCAGGGGGCUCCUGUGAGCCGGCUGCAGAUGAGAACUGCCCAGGCCGAGCCCUCCACCCACGCGGCUCACCCCUGCGACAUGUGUGGCCCAGUCUUGAAAGACAGUUUGGCCCCUGGAUGAGCCGCCGGGAACUCCCAGCAGGUGAAUCACGGGGAGAGAUUUCGGGUGUAGUGUAAACCUCGACCAGAUGCAGAAGUGGUAGAAUGGAGUCUUCAGAAGAGAAAACGCAGGCUUCAUUUGUAAAGUACUACGGAUCCUAUACAUCAGAGACAGCCUUCACUUGCAGGGAGGGUGGAGAGAACUUCCGGCCAGCACCCAGCCCCUCGCCGUGGGGAGAAGCCAAGCGGGCGUGUCAGGAGCUUAUUCUCUGCUGUCAUCGCCAUGGGGUCCUUUGGGUAUUGGAUUCCCGUUGGGCCGGAAAGCACAACUGAGGCCAUAAAGCUUUCUGCCUCUCAGUGGCCCUUGUUGGAGGGAACGUUGCUCCAGGGGACACUUGACUCUGGGACUCUGGGUUAGAGCAAACUAGAAAUCAGAAAUGCAAGAAGGGCUGUGGAGCCCAGGGACAGUUUCCCACAAGGAGAGUCUUCAGGAGGAUGAGCUGUGAACACAGCGGUGUGAGAACAGGUGACAGUCUCUGCUCCAGCAAUUACUGGAACAAUUACUCCUGUAGAUGCUUUUCAUAAACAGAACUCACAUGCACCAGGGAAAGCUUCCAUGAUCUAUGCAGGCAAGAAUCUCUGCAAGUGGAAGAAAUGUGGGAUGGCUUUAACAAACUGAUGUGCCUUUCUCCCGAGGGUGGGCCCGAGUCAGCACGUGAGGAUUUGUGCUCAGCAGAACCACAGGAGUGGUCAGGCUCAUGCAGCAACAGCACAUUGACACUGAGAAGCCUUAUGAAUGCAGAGAAUGUGGGAAAGUGUCUUGUGUCUGCUCUGCUUUUGUUCCAAGUAACAUUUCCCACUCCAAAGACAGUCAUACUUUGAGUGCAAAGUAUGUGGGUACACCUUCUGUGACAACUUUUUUACUCAGCGUGUGAGGGUUCUCACAAGAGAGGAUCCCAGAGUACAGUGAAUGUGGAAAGGCCUUCGUUCACCCUUAUUUGUCUGGCCUAGUAGGAUCCAUGCUGGAGAAAAACCAUUUGAGUAUAAGAAUAUCAGAGAGCCUUUCGUUAUAGCUCCUCCCUGAUUCCAUAUGGGAAGGCUCACAUGAGGGAGAAAUGCUGUGAAUCCAGUGAAUGUGGACAGUCCCUCUGCCUUCAUUUAUUCCUUACCAAGCCUCAGAGUGUUCACACUGGGGAGAAACCCUGUGAGCGUAAGAAAUGGGCCAAAGCCUUUUACAUGUGAACUUGUCUCAGGCAUUAUCAGAGAACUCAUACUGGGAAAAGACCUUUUGAAUGUAACUCCUGGGGAAAAUCUUCUGAACAGAGGAAGCAUCAUACUCUGAGGAAUUAUACCAAAGAGAAAUAACUGUUCGUAUGCUGUGAGAAAAUCUUCUGAAAUCAGUCAUCACUUAUUGUCAUUGGAAGAGUCAUAUAGGAAAUGGAUCCAUCCUAGGACAUUGCAUCUGAGAAUUUAUAAAGGAGAGAGAACCAGUGGCUACUGUGCAGUUUCAAAAAUCUUCAACCAUAGCUCUGCCCUUACUAUGCACUGAAAAAGCAACCACAGGAAUAUUUAAAAAACAAAAACAAAGGAGAAAGAAAAAUAUAAGUAGAUAUAACAGGCCAAGAAAUGUAUUUAUGACUUUUCUGGUUUUCCUGAGAAACCAAUGACAGUUUAUUGUCUGUUUUUUGUUGUUGUUGUUGUUUUUGAGUGGCAAAACAAACUCUCAAUUUGUUUGAGAGAUUAAACACCUGAAUUAAUAUGCACUGUGUGCCAUGCCACACCAGGAAAGCUGGAAGCUUGAGAACAUCUCUGCAAAUGUUACUUGUUACGAAACAUCAUCUUAGGUGAUGCCUUGAUUUAUGAAGGCUUUAAAACUUAAAUUAGGAUACAAAAAUGUUGUCUAAAAUUAUAAUCUAAAGACAUAAGGACACACUUAUGAAUGGAUCCAUUUUACUUAACUACUUAAAACUGUUUAAGGCUUCAUUUUUAUUUAUUUAUCCAUUAAUUAUUGAGAUAUAAUUGACCUAUAACUAUGUAUGUUUAAGAUGUACAGCAUAUUUAUCAGAUACAUUUACACUGUAGUAUGAUUGCCAUCAUAGCAUCAGUUAGCCUCCGUUGUGCCACAGAAUUAUCAUCUCUUUUAGUGGUGGGAACAAAUAAGAUAUCUCUUGGCAAGUUUAAUGUUUAUGAUAUAGUUUUAUUGUCUGUAAUCCCAGUACUUUAUGUUAGAGCUCUCGGAAUUAUUUGUCUACGAGUUGUAAGUGUAUACCCCUGAACAUCAUCUCUCCCAUCCCCUCACCCCACCCCCGGCCUUUGGUAACCAUCACUGUAAUGUUUUCCAGCUCAGUUUUUGGUUUUGUUUUGCUUUUUCCAUGCAUAAGGGAUAUUAUACAAUAUUUGCUGUAUAUCACUUAGCAUGACGUUCUCAAGGUCCAUCUGUAUUGUUGAAAAUGGCAGGAUUUCCUUUUUUCUCAAGGCUGAGUAUAUGUGUUUUUAUUCCUUUAUUGUCGGGGUCCUUUAAUGGACCGGAGCCUGGUGGUCCAGAGUUGACAAUAAGAAAGUCAAAGAGAAAAAGAGGCUGAUGUUCCCUGGUUUACGCAGAGAACCAAAAGCCCUUGACACAGGUCAUGGAUUGCUCACGAAGGCACAGGGCGCCCUCUCGAGGGGGACUUGGAAGCCUGGGCAGGAAAGUGAGCAUGACGGGUUUCUACAUUCCAGAGAAUU